ensembl:lncRNA
CCAGGUUUGGGGAACAGGACAGUGUGCAACUUGUCUAGAAGUUCCAGGCAGAACUGAUUCAUUAUCUUUUCUUUCACAGUCACGUCUGGUGGAAAAAGGCUGGCUUUGGCUGCUUGGAGACUGAUUGCAGUGCUCACAAGAUCCUGAAGCAGCAAAUGUCUGGCAAAGCUCUAUUGAGGAGAAUUAAGGAAGAGCUCUUGGACAAAGUGGGCAGGCCUGUGGAACUUCCUUAGGGAGACCUGGGAAUAAUAAAGACUGGAGUAUGAGUUGGCUGAACCUCUUCUUUGGUGGUUAUUUGGUCAAACUCCCAAACUGGAGCCUCAGACUGCAACUGAGGCAAUGAUUAACAUAGUGAUGGGUGGGAACAUAUCAGGAGAAUGGAAGGAAGCCACAUUUGCAAGAUCCUCUUGCAUCCUGCCAAGCAAAUGUACUUGCAUAUAUCCUUAGUGCUUUCAUUUUUCUUUAUGCCAUCUUAACAUUUAUUGAAUUUGGGAGACAGAGAUGGCAAAUCGUAACUACUUGCUGAUAGCUCUAUUUUGUGUCUUCAAGGAUUUGGUUGGGUUUUUUGUUUUGUUUUAUGGCUUUUACAGCUUUGUCUCUUCUCUCCCUAAACCUGGAAGAACAGCAAGGCACAAUUCCCCCUGACCCAGGAUGCCUGAAGAACAGUAGCAUGAGCAACCUCAGAAGACUCUGUCUGCAGGGAAGAAAGAAUGAGGAAGGGACCACAGCUAAACAGACAGUGCCUUCAGGAAAGAGAAGCUGCUUGGGAAACAAUCUGCAGUCCUUCUAGGAAGAGAAUUCCCUAGCAUAAAGGGAGGUGGACUGGUGAUGCUGGUGGUGGUGAUGCCGGUGGUGGAGGAAGGAUGUUGGUGAGCUACUGCGAAGGAGGGAGUAUGGGUUUGAAGCAUGUGGAGAGAGAGCAGAGGUUGGUUGGUGUGUGUUGCUGUAAGCCUGUGUGUAUCCUAGAGGUAAGCACGGAUGGUUUCUUGGACCUCUCCAUCUCCAUCCACCAGCCUGCAGAUCAGAACUGGUCUGGAGGGCUUUUCACUGCUGACACAAAGUGCGUUGGAGGCAAGAUGACGAUGCUGGAGAAGUUAAACCCAUGUCUGUCCCUGUGGACCCACCAUUGUGCGGGCAGCCAGCUGAAGGCACCCUUGACCUAAGCUGAGGGAUUUAACAAAUGGAAGGUGAAUCAUCUGUUUCAUUAAAUCAGAGGCCGCUUCAAGCACUGCAGCCCAAUUAUGCCACAUGUUGUGCAUAGCCUGAAAAGAAUAUUGGUGCAGAAAUAGGAUCCAUAUGGGCAGGUCCUUACUGGGGAGCACAUCCUGCUGAAGAACGGCCUUGGGUAUCUGACUGCGUGGAUCAGCUUAACAGGAUUCAGGCCUUGACCCUUAAUUUAUAGUGUUGAGCAACUCUCAAGAAGAGGGAAUGAUCUGUAGGAGGUACAGCAUGAAGUGGACGGAGCAGUGACAUACAUUUCCCCUCCAAGGAGCAAGGCUUGCUGCCUUUGCUUUGGUGUAAGGCUGCAUGCUCCAGGAAUAAGCAAGAAUAUCAAGGUCUGGCCUGGAUUCCUCCCUCGAGGAAAGAGACAGAUGAUAUCAUUGUUGGAGUUGUUUGGACAUCACAAAGGCAGGACAAAAGAACGAGAGCCCAAAUGCAGCCAGCCAGCUGAGAGCACACUGCUGCUCCUGCAAAGCUCUUCAAGGAGAAAUGCUGACACAGCCAUUUCCGGCACUAUUUGCUGCUGCAAGGAAUACUUAAGACCUGCAGAAGACCUGUUUUCAUGGAAACGUUGUCUACUAAGCAGUAGCAGACUGCUUCAUCUUAGACUUGAUCAUCACAGAGCGAAGAGGAAAACCUACAGCACUGAGAAACCUCCUUGCCUGCAACAGCCCACGUUCCUUUCUCAUGCUCAAAUGCCACUUUGUUCAUCAGUCAAAGGAAACUUUCUUGUGACCCUGUUGUAUGUUGCCCAGCAAAUCUGGAGGGCAGAAUGGAAUAUGAAGCAAAGAAAACAUGACAGCAGGAAAUGGAGGAGGAAAAGAUCUACCCGCCUUGAAAUGGGCUGAUGGACAAGUCUGAGA